UAUCAAUAAGCGGAGGAAAAGAAACUAACCAGGAUUCCCCUAGUAACGGCGAGUGAACAGGGAUUAGCCCAGCACCGAAGCCUGCGUCCGUUUGGGCGUUGGGCAAUGUGGUGUUUAGGUUGAUGCGUUGGUGUGUCACUUCGUUCCAAGUCCAAUAAUGAAUAUGGCUUUAGCAUGGCCCAGAGAGGGUGAAAGGCCCGUGUGGACGGAGUGAUGCUCUACUGCGUUGACUUUGGAGUCGGGUUGUUUGAGAAUGCAGCCCAAAGUUGGUGGUAAACUCCAUCUAAGGCUAAAUACUGGCACGAGUCCGAUAGCGAACAAGUACCGUGAGGGAAAGUUGAAAAGUACUCUGAAGAGAGAGUUAACAGUGCGUGAAACCGCUUAGAGGCAAACGGGUGUAGUCAAGCUGCAAGCCCAUUGAAAUAGGAGGGUCAGAAUGGCGUGAGUCUGAGCACAUAGAGCUGGCACCGGGGUGCGUCCGUUUGGGCGUGUUCGUUCCGCAAGGUUCGGAUCUGUGAGGUGACAUUCGUCGCUGCAGGCUCCGGCGUCAGUUGCUCUGCUGGCCCUUUCACUUUCUUUGGGCGUAUGUCACGACCGUCGUUGCUGUCGGUCUGCUCCGUCUAAACCGCAUCAUGAGUAGUCUUGUGCUUCUCGUGGUGUGGAGGCAGGUAGCCGGGCCGGCUUUUGUCGGACUGGUGUUAUUGCUGGGCGGAGUGGUACCUGUAACUGUGCAGUGCGGCGGGGCUGGCGGUGCAUUGGUAUCUGGGCGUGCUAAAGUGAUCUGGCGUGACGUGGGUCUGGCUGCUUGUUGCUAUCUUUGAUGGCCUUGUGGCGGCUCUGUUGCGGUUUGGGUUGCGGCAGCGUCUGGGCAUUCUUUGCGUUGAGCCAAUAGUCUGUGGCGUAGUGGUAGACGAUCCACCCGA
rnacentral:rRNA from 1 species